GGCGGCGUAUCUUAGGUGGUAGAGCGGUCGCUAUGCACGCGAGAGGAACCAGGGUCGAUACGUGACGCCUCCA